rnacentral:rRNA from 1 species
CAAUAGCGUAUAUUAAAGUUGUUGCAGUUAAAAAGCUCGUAGUUGAGUUUUUGCUUGCCGCCGAUGUCGGAACUUCCGUACGUUCGGCGGCGUGCAUCCUUGGGUGGAACAUGUGUGGCAUUAGGUUAUCGUGCAGGGGAUGCUCAUCGUUUACUGUGAAAAAAUUAGAGUGUUCAAAGCAGGCUUACGCCGUUGAAUAUAUUAGCAUGGAAUAAUAAGAUAGGACCUUGGUACUAUUUUGUUGGUUUGCGCACCGAGGUAAUGAUUAACAGGGACAGUUGGGGGUAUUCGUAUUCCAUUGUCAGAGGUGAAAUUCUUGGAUUUCUGGAAGACGAACUACUGCGAAAGCAUUUACCAAGGAUGUUUNCAUUA